rnacentral:tRNA from 1 species
GCCUGGGUGGCUCAGUCGGUUGAGCGUCCGACUUCAGCUCAGGUCAUGAUCUCAGAGUUCGUGAGUUCGAGCCCCGCGUCGGGCU